rnacentral:rRNA from 1 species
CAGCCGUAAACUAUGCGCGUUAGGUGUAUCGGUGACCACGAGUUACCGAGGUGCCGAAGGGAAACCGUGAAACGUGCCGCCUGGGAAGUACGGUCGCAAGGCUGAAACUUAAAGGAAUUGGCGGGGGAGCACAACAACGGGUGGAGCUUGCGGUUUAAUUGGAUUCAACGCCGGAAAUCUUACCGGGACCGACAGCAACAUGAAGGCCAAGCUGAAGACUUUGCCGGAUUAGCUGAGAGGAGGUGCAUGGCGUAG